GACGAACGCUGGCGGCGUGCUUAACACAUGCAAGUCGAACGAAGCUUGAUUACGGAUUCUUCGGAUGAAGUAUGAUAUGACUGAGUGGCGGACGGGUGAGUAACGCGUGAGUAACCUGCCCUUCAGAGGGGGAUAGCGUUUGGAAACGAACGGUAAUACCGCAUAAUGUAUUUUGACCGCAUGAUCGAAAUACCAAAGAUUUAUCGCUGAAGGAUGGACUCGCGUCUGAUUAGGUAGUUGGUGGGGUAACGGCCUACCAAGCCGACGAUCAGUAGCCGGACUGAGAGGUUGAUCGGCCACAUUGGGACUGAGACACGGCCCAGACUCCUACGGGAGGCAGCAGUGGGGAAUAUUGCACAAUGGGCGCAAGCCUGAUGCAGCAACGCCGCGUGAAGGAAGACGGUUUUCGGAGUGUAAACUUCUGUUCUUAGUGAAGAAUAAUGACGGUAGCUAAGGAGCAAGCCACGGCUAACUACGUG
rnacentral:rRNA from 1 species